UACGUAGGGGGCAAGCGUUGUCCGGAAUUAUUGGGCGUAAAGAGCGUGUAGGCGGCCAGGUAGGUCUGCUGUGAAAACUCGAGGCUCAACCUCGAGAUGUCGGCGGAAACCAUCUGGCUAGAGUCCGGAAGAGGAGAGUGGAAUUCCCGGUGUAGCGGUGAAAUGCGCAGAUAUCGGGAAGAACACCCGUGGCGAAGGCGGCUCUCUGGGACGGUACUGACGCUGAGACGCGAAAGCGUGGGGAGCGAACAGG
rnacentral:rRNA from 1 species